CCCUGGAGACGGCGUGGACCAGCCGUUCCAUCCUUUCCCCUGCGGAGUAAACAUCACGGCUUCUUGCUCCCAAUUCCUUCACGGCGCAUCAAAGAAACGAGGCGCCGCUCCCCUACCUGCAGUUCCAGAGGCCAAGAAAGGCACAAAGGUUACCAACCAAGCUCCCUCCAACAAAACCCUAACCACCAAGAAAACCCGGCAAAGGAAACCCUAAUUGCCAAGAAACGCAGAGAAUCCCGCCCCCGGAGCCGCGAGAAAGCCACGCAUUAGCAAGCGAGGACGGGCGUCCCCCGCCGAGAAGUCCGAAUUUCAAACCCUCGAAAUCCCAAGAAACCCCCCAAGAAACAAGCGGCGGAAAGAAGGUUAACGGAUCUGCGAGGAGGGCGCUCACCGGGAGGUGCCCGGCGGCCACGGCGCGGCGGCGCGGCGGCGCGGUGGAGGCCGGCUGUGCGGGCGCGCGAGGGGCCGGGCUGGGCUAGGUCGGGGCUGCUGGUGCUCUGGGGGUUGGGUAGGUGCGUCGUGCGGCUGCGGUCAGAUUUGGGAAAGGAGCGGGGAGACGGGAAGAGAGAAAGAGAAAAGGAGGGGGGAAGAGGCGGGCGG
rnacentral:lncRNA from 1 species